GAACAAAAAGUGGUAGAUUUCGAUCGUUUAAACGACUACAAACAUGAUUUCCAAGACGUGGAUACAGGCUUUUGUUGCAUUGGUACCAGUAAAGCGAAAUCCGGUGGAAAAGCUGGAUUUAUUAAAGUAGAUCAUGAUUAUGUAGUAAAUUCCGCAGCGAUGGCUAAAUCUGUAGGAUGCAAGCAUUUCGUAUUGGUAUCUUCUUAUGGUGCGAACAAGGACAGCAGUUUCCUUUAUCCAAAAACAAAGGGCGAAGUUGAAGAAGACCUCAAAGCAAUCAGUUUUGACAAUCUAUCAAUUUUCAGACCAGGAAUGUUACUAUGUAAUAGGGUAGAAAGAAGACCAAUUGAAGCAUGCUUUAGAUGCUGCUGGAAACCGAUGCCACAGUGGGUUGUAAAAGAAGGCGCUAUCAACACAGACAACUUGGCUACAGCCAUGGUGAACAAAGCUAUCAAUCCAUCGUCUGAAAAGGUGGAAACCAUCGAAAAUAAACAAAUAUAUGACUUAAUUUGAACGUAAUCAAUGUGACGUUUUUCCGGUGUCGAGCUGAUAAUAAACUGUGAUAUCAUUAUUAAUAAAACAAUGGCGUAUUUUGUACAUAUAAUUACUCUAGAAGCAAUUUGGUAAGCAACAGAUUAUGAGCCCAUGUAGUCGAGGACAUGCAAUAACAAUAAAACUUACUUUCUAACAUUU